rnacentral:rRNA from 1 species
UACGUAGGGUGCGAGCGUUGUCCGGAAUUAUUGGGCGUAAAGAGCUCGUAGGCGGUGUGUCACGUCGUUCGUGAAAACCUGCAGCUUAACUGUGGGCGUGCGGUCGAUACGGGCAUCACUGGAGUUCGGCAGGGGAGACUGGAAUUCCUGGUGUAGCGGUGAAAUGCGCAGAUAUCAGGAGGAACACCUGCGGUGUAGACGGCUUACUGGACCAUCACUGACGCUGAGGCACGAAAGCGUGGGUAGCAAACAGG